CUCCUCUCUUUCUCGCAGCAUGCCUCCUAUUCGUCCUCUGCACCAAGCAGCGCUGUGUCGACUACGUCUGGAUAGCACCUCAUCUCCAUCCUCGCCCCCAAGCAGUGUCACCUCACCUCUACUUCCCCGCCUGAGCAGUGACACCUGCGGUCUCGGCUUCACCGCCUCCUGUACUUCUCAACCAACGGUGUUUGUUUGUGUUUCUUGAAGUCUGAUUUACUCAGCAAGGAAGGGAUGUGCUACUGUAUAAUGUUUAUCGGGAGCAUGGUAGCCUAGUGGCAAAAGCUUCUGUGUAUGCAGAUGGAAGCAGAUAAGUGUCAGGCUCUUCCUACAGGAUGUCUAUUGGUUCAGUUCUAGUCAUAAACAUAGGUUUCCCAAGGGUACACA